GUGGAAGAUCUCUGAGUGGCUUGGCUGUAUUCUACAGUGCAUGUGUCUCCAGUGUUACACAGGCAACUGGGGAUGCAGCUCUGUUGGAAUAACAGCCAAGACCAAUAACGACAGCCAGUC
rnacentral:pre_miRNA from 17 species